CCGGCUUCCAACUGCUGCCACGUGGGCUCCAUCACCGGCGCCUCCUGUCCGGACUCCUGCUGCGCCGGCGCCCACCCCUCCUCUUUCCCUUCGGGGGCCCUCUGACGAAGCACCAAUCCACGCUGACCGGCUGCCCCAUCAGCUCCUGCCCGUUCAGCCCCUCCAUGGCCGCCUGCGCCUCUUUGUACGUCUCGUACUCCACCAGCGUGUAUCCCUUCAGGUAGCCGGUCCUCCUGUCCAGGUUCAGGUGGAUGUUUUUGAUCUCUCCGUACUCAGCGAAUUUGUCGUGGAUGUCCUCCUCCGUCGCCUCCUCGUGGACGCCGGUGACAAAAAGGAUCCAACCCUCCACCGACCUCUGCGGCCCGGGCUCAUCGCCGUCCUGCUCCACGCUGUCGUAGUCCUCCCGGACCCGGGCCCGCGACCCUUCCUCUGAGCCGAAGCCGCGGCCCUUCCGCUUCUUGGCCUUCUCCUUCAGCUUAUGGAUGCUCUCGUCGCCGUCCUCGUCCAUGGCGAAGUCCUCGCCGCUCGGCUCGUGUAGGUCCAGCACGUCCGCCAUCUUGCCGCGCUCUCCCCAACCGCCU
rnacentral:lncRNA from 1 species